rnacentral:rRNA from 1 species
ACGGGUGAGUACAACAUAGGAAUUUGCCUUCGGGUGGGGGACAACUUGAGGAAACUCAAGCUAAUACCGCAUAUACCUUAAGAGGGAAAGCGUGGGAUCUUCGGACCACGUGCCAGGAGAGAAGCCUAUGCCGGAUUAGCUAGUUGGUGGGGUAAAGGCCUACCAAGGCAAUGAUCCGUAGCUGGUCUGAGAGGAUGAUCAGCCACACUGGGACUGAGACACGGCCCAGACUCCUACGGGAGGCAGCAGUGGGGAAUAUUGGACAAUGGGCGAAAGCCUGAUCCAGCAAUGCCGCGUGUGUGAAGAAGGCCUGCGGGUUGUAAAGCACUUUCGUGGGGGAGGAAGGCAUUAGUUUUAAUAAAACUGAUGAUUGACGUUACCCCAAGAAGAAGCACCGGCUAACUCUGUGCCAGCAGCCGCGGUAAUACAGAGGGUGCAAGCGUUAAUCGGAAUUACUGGGCGUAAAGGGUGUGUAGGUGGUAAAGUAAGUUAGGUGUGAAAUCCUCGGGCUUAACCUGAGAAUUGCGCUUAAUACUGCAUUGCUAGAGUACUAUAGAGGGUAGUGGAAUUUCCAGU